rnacentral:rRNA from 1 species
CGGGGUGAGUAACACGUGGAUAACCUACCUAUAAGACUGGGAUAACUUCGGGAAACCGGAGCUAAUACCGGAUAAUAUAUUGAACCGCAUGGUUCAAUAGUGAAAGACGGUUUUGCUGUCACUUAUAGAUGGAUCCGCGCCGCAUUAGCUAGUUGGUAAGGUAACGGCUUACCAAGGCAGCGAUGCGUAGCCGACCUGAGAGGGUGAUCGGCCACACUGGAACUGAGACACGGUCCAGACUCCUACGGGAGGCAGCAGCG